CCUACGGGAGGCAGCAGUGGGGAAUAUUGGGCAAUGGGCGCAAGCCUGACCCAGCAACGCCGCGUGAAGGAAGAAGGCUUUCGGCUUGUAAACCUCUUUUCUGAGGGACGAAGCAAGUGACGGUACCUCAGGAAUAAGCCACCGCUAACUACGUGCCAGCAGCCGCGGUAAUACGUAGGUGGCAAGCGUUAUCCGGAUUCAUUGGGUGUAAAGGGCGUGUAGGCGGGAAAGCAAGUCAGAUGUGAAACCUCAGGGCUCAACCCUGAGCCUGCAUUUGAAACUGUUUGUCUUGAGUGCUGGAGAGGCAAGCGGAAUUCCGGGUGUAGCGGUGAAAUGCGUAGAUAUACGGAGGAACACCAGUGGCGAAGGCGGAUUGCUGGACAGUAACUGACGCUGAGGCGCGAAAGCGUGGGGAGCAAACAGGAUUAGAUACCCGUGUAGUC
rnacentral:rRNA from 1 species